AAUUAAGAGUGGAUGUGUGGAUGUGUGAGAAGUGGUUGACUAGAGGAGACAGAUGAUUGAAUUAGACAAGUAAUAGGCUGAGAAGGUGAGUGGGGAGUUAUUGUAGGUUAGGUGUUCAGCAGGAGAGCACAUUUGGGAAGGGAAAGAUAGUCUGGGACAUGAUAAGCUUGAGCUACAUUCUAGACAUCCAGGCAGGUGCUGAAUGUGUUCAUAAUCCAGAGAAGUCUGAGCUGGAAAUACAAAUGUGGGUAAGUGAGGGGAAGACAGGAGCAUAUUUGGCACAUAAGGUAGGAGGCUUCUGUGAGUCUCAGCCUCUUCUGCUUCAGUAGAACUGACGAAAGAGGCUCUCUUCCCAAAACUUGGGAGUUCCCCUUACAGGUUCUAUUUGUCACCCAUUUGAAGAACUGCCAAUCACGGUGUUUGAAAGCCGUGUUCUAGAGAAGUGAUCAGAGUAGACCACCAGGAACCAGAAAAGAGGAACCACUGAAGAAGUCCUUGAAACUUUAGCAGCAGUGAGUCAUGCUCACCUGUUUUAAACAGAUACUACUCAGUCUAGUUAAGAGUAGAUUUUGAAAAUUUCCCAAGGUAGCAGUGGAGCUCAGUCAGUAGAGGGCUUGCCUGUUUAUGUGCAACAUCCAAGGUCAAUACCAGCUCUCCACAAAACUCAGUGUGCUACAUAACUGUAAUCCCAGCACUUGGAAUACGAAGGCUGGAGGAUCAGAAGUUCACAGUUAUCCUUGACCAAAUAGCAAAUUUGAGGCCAGUCUGAAUUACCUGAAACUUUGUCUUUAAAAAAAAAAAAAAAUCCACCCAUAUGCUAAAAGU
rnacentral:lncRNA from 1 species